AGUAAUGUAUGGGGAUCUGCCCGAUAGAGGGGGGUAACUACUGGAAACGGUGGCUAAUACCGCAUAAUGUCUACGGACCAAAGCAGGGGCUCUUCGGACCUUGCACUAUCGGAUGAACCCAUACGGGAUUAGCUAGUAGGUGGGGUAAAGGCUCACCUAGGCGACGAUCUCUAGCUGGUCUGAGAGGAUGAUCAGCCACACUGGGACUGAGACACGGCCCAG
rnacentral:rRNA from 1 species